GACGAACCGUGCGAACGUUGUUCGGAAUCACUGGGCUUAAAGGGCGCGUAGGCGGGCUGCCAAGUCUGGGGUGAAAUCCCGCGGCUCAACCGUGGAAUGGCCUCAGAUACUGGCGGUCUCGAGGGAGGUAGGGGCGAGCGGAACUGUGAGUGGAGCGGUGAAAUGCGUUGAUAUUCACAGGAACUCCGGUGGCGAAGGCGUCUCGCUGGGCCUCUUCUGACGCUGAUGCGCGAAAGCUAGGGGAGCAAACGGG
rnacentral:rRNA from 1 species